rnacentral:rRNA from 1 species
GGUUAAGCGACUAAGCGUACACGGUGGAUGCCCUGGCAGUCAGAGGCGAUGAAGGACGUGCUAAUCUGCGAUAAGCGUCGGUGAGGUGAUAUGAACCGUUAUAACCGGCGAUUUCCGAAUGGGGAAACCCAGUGUGAUUCGUCACACUAUCAUUAACUGAAUCCAUAGGUUAAUGAGGCGAACCGGGGGAACUGAAACAUCUAAGUACCCCGAGGAAAAGAAAUCAACUGAGAUUCCCCCAGUAGCGGCGAGCGAACGGGGAGCAGCCCAGAGCCUGAAUCAGUGUGUGUGUUAGUGGAAGCGUCUGGAAAGGCGCGCGAUACAGGGUGACAGCCCCGUACACAAAAAUGCACAUACUGUGAGCUCGAUGAGUAGGGCGGGACACGUGGUAUCCUGUCUGAAUAUGGGGGGACCAUCCUCCAAGGCUAAAUACUCCUGACUGACCGAUAGUGAACCAGUACCGUGAGGGAAAGGCGAAAAGAACCCCGGCGAGGGGAGUGAAAAAGAACCUGAAACCGUGUACGUACAAGCAGUGGGAGCCUCUUAAUGGGGUGACUGCGUACCUUUUGUAUAAUGGGUCAGCGACUUAUAUUCUGUAGCAAGGUUAACCGAAUAGGGGAGCCGAAGGGAAACCGAGUCUUAACUGGGCGUUAAGUUGCAGGGUAUAGACCCGAAACCCGGUGAUCUAGCCAUGGGCAGGUUGAAGGUUGGGUAACACUAACUGGAGGACCGAACCGACUAAUGUUGAAAAAUUAGCGGAUGACUUGUGGCUGGGGGUGAAAGGCCAAUCAAACCGGGAGAUAGCUGGUUCUCCCCGAAAGCUAUUUAGGUAGCGCCUCGUGAAUUCAUCUCCGGGGGUAGAGCACUGUUUCGGCAAGGGGGUCAUCCCGACUUACCAACCCGAUGCAAACUGCGAAUACCGGAGAAUGUUAUCACGGGAGACACACGGCGGGUGCUAACGUCCGUCGUGAAGAGGGAAACAACCCAGACCGCCAGCUAAGGUCCCAAAGUCAUGGUUAAGUGGGAAACGAUGUGGGAAGGCCCAGACAGCCAGGAUGUUGGCUUAGAAGCAGCCAUCAUUUAAAGAAAGCGUAAUAGCUCACUGGUCGAGUCGGCCUGCGCGGAAGAUGUAACGGGGCUAAACCAUGCACCGAAGCUGCGGCAGCGACACUAUGUGUUGUUGGGUAGGGGAGCGUUCUGUAAGCCUGUGAAGGUGUACUGUGAGGUAUGCUGGAGGUAUCAGAAGUGCGAAUGCUGACAUAAGUAACGAUAAAGCGGGUGAAAAGCCCGCUCGCCGGAAGACCAAGGGUUCCUGUCCAACGUUAAUCGGGGCAGGGUGAGUCGACCCCUAAGGCGAGGCCGAAAGGCGUAGUCGAUGGGAAACAGGUUAAUAUUCCUGUACUUGGUGUUACUGCGAAGGGGGGACGGAGAAGGCUAUGUUGGCCGGGCGACGGUUGUCCCGGUUUAAGCGUGUAGGCUGGUUUUCCAGGCAAAUCCGGAAAAUCAAGGCUGAGGCGUGAUGACGAGGCACUACGGUGCUGAAGCAACAAAUGCCCUGCUUCCAGGAAAAGCCUCUAAGCAUCAGGUAACAUCAAAUCGUACCCCAAACCGACACAGGUGGUCAGGUAGAGAAUACCAAGGCGCUUGAGAGAACUCGGGUGAAGGAACUAGGCAAAAUGGUGCCGUAACUUCGGGAGAAGGCACGCUGAUAUGUAGGUGAAGUCCCUUGCGGAUGGAGCUGAAAUCAGUCGAAGAUACCAGCUGGCUGCAACUGUUUAUUAAAAACACAGCACUGUGCAAACACGAAAGUGGACGUAUACGGUGUGACGCCUGCCCGGUGCCGGAAGGUUAAUUGAUGGGGUUAGCGGUAACGCGAAGCUCUUGAUCGAAGCCCCGGUAAACGGCGGCCGUAACUAUAACGGUCCUAAGGUAGCGAAAUUCCUUGUCGGGUAAGUUCCGACCUGCACGAAUGGCGUAAUGAUGGCCAGGCUGUCUCCACCCGAGACUCAGUGAAAUUGAACUCGCUGUGAAGAUGCAGUGUACCCGCGGCAAGACGGAAAGACCCCGUGAACCUUUACUAUAGCUUGACACUGAACAUUGAGCCUUGAUGUGUAGGAUAGGUGGGAGGCUUUGAAGUGUGGACGCCAGUCUGCAUGGAGCCGGCCUUGAAAUACCACCCUUUAAUGUUUGAUGUUCUAACGUUGGCCCCUGAUCGGGGUUGCGGACAGUGUCUGGUGGGUAGUUUGACUGGGGCGGUCUCCUCCUAAAGAGUAACGGAGGAGCACGAAGGUUGGCUAAUCCUGGUCGGACAUCAGGAGGUUAGUGCAAUGGCAUAAGCCAGCUUGACUGCGAGCGUGACGGCGCGAGCAGGUGCGAAAGCAGGUCAUAGUGAUCCGGUGGUUCUGAAUGGAAGGGCCAUCGCUCAACGGAUAAAAGGUACUCCGGGGAUAACAGGCUGAUACCGCCCAAGAGUUCAUAUCGACGGCGGUGUUUGGCACCUCGAUGUCGGCUCAUCACAUCCUGGGGCUGAAGUAGGUCCCAAGGGUAUGGCUGUUCGCCAUUUAAAGUGGUACGCGAGCUGGGUUUAGAACGUCGUGAGACAGUUCGGUCCCUAUCUGCCGUGGGCGCUGGAGAACUGAGGGGGGCUGCUCCUAGUACGAGAGGACCGGAGUGGACGCAUCACUGGUGUUCGGGUUGUCAUGCCAAUGGCACUGCCCGGUAGCUAAAUGCGGAAGAGAUAAGUGCUGAAAGCAUCUAAGCACGAAACUUGCCCCGAGAUGAGUUCUCCCUGACUCCUUGAGAGUCCUGAAGGAACGUUGAAGACGACGACGUUGAUAGGCCGGGUGUGUAAGCGCAGCGAUGCGUUGAGCUAACCGGUACUAAUGAACCGUGAGGCUUAACCUU